rnacentral:piRNA from 1 species
UGCAAGUCCACGGAGUGCUGC